AGCCACGCAAUGCCCACAAAGCGAACUAUUCUUUCGCCUUUUACUAAAGAAUUCCGCGUGUGCGUUGCAAAUAAUGGCAUAAGCUAAUUUUUGGAGAGGUACCCCCUUACUGAGGAU
rfam:Capsicum annuum cultivar Zunla-1 chromosome 6, whole genome shotgun sequence